rnacentral:misc_RNA from 1 species
AAAUGAAAUAUGUGCAUUAGCCAGUGAUCAUAAUCGAUACAUGUUGUUGCCUUGCAUUACAUGCCCAACUCAAAUAUCUAUCUUCCAAUCACUCGUGCUAGAGUUCCCAUGCAACAGGCAAAUAUCAAUGCAACUGUCAUUAAAAGUGAACUAAUGUACUGAUGUUAAUAUUCUCCUUUACAAAAAUAUUCAGUAUGAAACAAGCGUUCACUUUUGGUAUCUGAAAUCAAUUACUUUUGCCAAGAAACCUGAGAACAAUCUGACCCCGUAAAAUAGGUUGAAUAAAAAUCAAAUAAAAAUUAGGGUUUUGCUGUUGACAAAUCAAGAUGCUCUCAAGUGUCCUUAUAAACCUUUCAAGCUGGUAACUGAAGCUUCUUGUUGUUUUUCCAGCUCUCAAAGUAAUAAUAGAAAAAGUCAGCAUAAAGCAGUGUCUGCACAAGCCCAGAUAUCCAAGCUGCAGGCAAUUCCCACAAAAUAGAUCAUCAGUGUAGAGAUUAUACCCAAAGAAAAAAGGAAAAGAAAAUGGGAAAGGAUGAUAAAUAAAAUAAUAAUGCAAACCAAGACAGAGAGUAACAAAUGAAACUAUACGUAUUAUUUGUAUUUAAUUGUUGUAGCCUUCAUCAAGGCAAAACGUGCAUAAAUGAAUCAGGGUAACUUUCCAAAUUGAUAUGCAAGUAUCAUAGUUGACCUAAGGGCAUUACACAAGCGCAAAGACAUACAGGAUGAAGAUGAGAAUAAGGCUAUUCGGUGGUAAAUUUACUAGGAAGAUGUAAAUGACAAAGUACUACAAGUGAUUUAUCUCUAUCCUUAUUUUGCAUGUAAACCAAUCUAGAGUAACAGACUAGAACAGGGAUACAAGCAAUGAUUCAAGAACACGCCUCAAAGAGCAUGUGAAAAGAGCCACAUAAUACUUCAUAAUUUGGCACAAAAUGGCCUUGAAGGCUAGGUGCAAAGAAGAAACAUAUUGCCAGAAAAUUCAAAAUUAAUACCACACAUUCACAAGAUAAUCACUCUGUAGUCAAUACUCCAUCCUUUUGAAUUUAACCAGCUUGUGUUUCCAUGUAGGAGCUCUUCAUAUGGGAAAAAGUAUUGGUUGUUAUCAUCUCAUGAGGGAAAAUAAUAUUAUUGGUUUCUUAGAAUUCAGUUGAGAAGGAGAAGCUAUGAAACAUAAUUAGGGAACCAAAUAAUAUUCUAGGUUUCCUAGAAUUCAAUUGACGAGUUAAACAAAAGGGAGUGAAAAUAGAGGACAAGAGAGAGAAAGAAGAGAGAAUGAAAGGGGUGCUAAAAAAGAAAUAGAACUAAGGGGGUCACAACACCUCUCUAGUCCUUAUCUCUCUAUUGCUUUAGUUUAAUUGGAUGUAUUGCAACACACCUUAAACCAAUACCAACCUUGCAUCACCAAUUCAGAUUAAAUAACAUCAAGUGAAUAGAAAAAAUAAUAAAAAAUAAAUAAAUGUUGCGGCCAAAAAUAAAUCAGGCACGCCACUAUUGCAAUGUGCCUGAAAAGAGCUGCAUGCGUUGGGUAAUUCACCUGCCUAACCAUGAUAAAGGCACUAGACCAAGUGCUAGUUUAACUUGAGCAUGAGGCAUGCCUUUAACAAGUAUGAUUAAUUGUUAUAUGUAGUUCAACAUGAGCUUGGCACUAUAACAAGCCUAAACACAGAUACAAAUCAACUGGGCUUUUUUUUUUUAAUUUUUUGUCGUCCUAAACUCCAAGAAGAAAAACAUUUGGGAUAUCAAAAAAGAACUUCCUUCUUUUCACUCAUUUGAGACGCUAUAUGUUCUAUAGCUCUUGCUCUUCCCUCAAACUCAUAACACGGAAAUGCAAGAUCAAUACCCAGAUUUCUUGAAAACAGCCAUUCCCACAUGCAUGCAUAUGUGUAUGCUUUAAGAGAGCCAGAGAGAGGAGACAUGCACACACGCAUGGAAAGACAGAAAGAGAGUUCGUACUUAUCCAAUGGGUAUCGUGUGUCUCAGUGAAGUAGCGAUAAAUCCAAUUGAGAAUGUAUAGGGAUCGGUAUGCACCAAGAAGAAAUACAUAUUGCCCCGUCAAGUUGUCAAUAUUUCUAGUUCUUUGUAACAGCACAAGCUGAGGAAGUAUGGCAACAGCUUCUAAAUAUAUGGAAAAUGUCCACAUCACCUAAUCAAUUUUUUUGUGAAGCAUAUAAGAAAGUGAAAAGCAGGGAAAGAAGGCAAAGCUACCUUUCUCAUUUGAAGAUGAAAACUUUUUGCACAUUUAGUCAAGUAGCUCAAAAAUAGACUGUGCAAAGGUAUGCACAGUUAUCACUAGAAAAAAGAAUUAAUAAAAAUAUAAAAUAUGAUGCAAACAAACCUCCUUAAAUGUGAAUUUCUCAUUAAUAACAAGGGCCAAGAGUAAGCAAGGCAGUAUAAGGAAAUAAUGACGGAAGCUGUCCUGAGCUUUAUCAUAAGACCUAUUGACAAUCUUGUGGUUCCUCAUGUACCAAACAAUUGAAAAUGAACUUCCUAAAAAUAUUAGCUUCAUGGUAGUAUUGUAGAGGGAAAUGAAAUCUGUAAAUAUAUCCAAAUAGCGAGUAGCAAAAACAAUAGCAUAGAGUUCUUGAGUCUUCAAAGAAAUGCCAGCGCAGGAUUUGAUGGUGUGGAUCUUGAGGAGCAAAACAAGAACACUGGCCAAAUGGGUCAUGUCCCCAGCUAAUCUGAAUAAAUUCAUCUUCGAUAUAUUUAUAAUUAAUUGUGAUGUAUGUAUAGGUCUCUGGCGUUUGGAUCAACCGGAAAAAGUCUCGCCGGAAAGAUCCAGCUCAAUUUUCUCAGAUCUCCGAUUGACCCAAAAAAAAAAAAAAAUUAGCACAAAUUAAAUAAACAAAUUAUUUCAGUUGCAAACUGGUGGGUUUAGACAUCUAUAUACAGCAGAUGCUGGUUGCUGGUAAGUAGGAAUGCUACUGGUAUCAACAAAUCUGACUUCCCCAGGAUCAAAUGAAAGAUCCCUAUGCCUUCGAAGAUCAAGUCCGACUAAACCAGCUUGUAGAAUUGUUAAAUUGUCAGAAUCUGGAGAGACAAUAAUGAUUGUCUCCCCAGAAUACUGGGUUUCAAGAAUGGACAUAAGUUGUGUCACACGGACAAAUACGUCUGCAACACUCUCAUUUGGGGUGCCAUCAUCUAUGGGAGGAGGCUUGUUUCUUGGAGAAAUAGUAUCUGAUUCAUACACCUGAACCAUUUCCAGACAUGCAACUGCUAAGAAUGUAUUUACACAACACACUCGGCAGCAGCUUAAGUAGGCACAGAGAGAGAAGGGGUUUAGCUGGAUCCUAAAUGCAAUACAUUACAUUCUUGUCUGUACUACAUAGAUCCUUAAAUAAAUUCUUUGGGGGCCAAAAAUAAUCGCAUUGUUAAUUGUUAAAAUUCCCCAAGUAUUUUAAAUGAUUAAUUUCCUUUUGUUGUAUUGUUAAAUUUAUAACGAUCAAAAUAUUAAGUAUACUCAGCAAAAUUUUGUUUAGUUAAUCAAUCAAGUUCUUUUGCAAAAAUUUAAUCUUAUGAAUAGGGUUGCACAAUCGGUCGGUUCGGUUUCAAACCGAACCAAACCAUUAAAAUCGAAUAAACGAAAAAAUAUUUAUGUAAACCGAACCAAACUAAUGGUAAAAUUGAAUCAAACUGAACUGAAAAAAUCAGUUCGGUUUGGCCAAUUGUUUCCAAAACACCUCAAUUACAGAGCCCAACCCCCUCCCAAAUCUGAGCACACUUCCCCGAAUCUUUAAUUCAUCAACAAUACAACAUAAAUCACCAACGCAUAAUGAAAACUAAGAGAUUAACUCAAACUAAAAUUGUGCCAAGUAACUCAAAUACAUCAAACAUGCAAUAAAUUAAAUCAAACCCUCGAGAAAUUCUGCAAAAUCCUCAAUUUCCAAAUAUACAACACUGGAGAGUACAGGGGCAGGAUGGAUCGUUUCAAAUAGUUAGGGUUAGGUUUUGGAAUGGUAAGGGGUAAAAUGUUGUAGUAUUUAAGGGAGAAAAUCAGUUCGGUUCAGUUAAUUCAAUUUUUUUAUUGAAUUGACCAAACCGAACCACCGAAAAUUUUUAUAAAAAUAACAAAAACCAAACCAAAAACCCGAAUUAAAUAGGUUCAAUUCAGUUAAACCCGAUCAAUGCGCACUCCUACUUAUGAAUCCCCAAAUAAUAACUCUUUCCUUUAGCUGAUAGUUCAGAACUUACCAUUCACAAUUACAAAAAUUAUUAUAAUAGUAUUCAAUUUUUACUUCUAAUCCAAAGAGAUUUUGUGUGAGUAAAGAAAAGUAAAUAAACCAAUUCCACUGAGGGCUGAAAUUAAGGAUUGAGGGAUCUAAACGAAAUCCUAAAAGGCAUUGAAGUUAAUUCCAUAAAAUUCCAUAACAACAAAGAGAAAGGGAUUUUACUUCUGAAAGAGCAUCCAAGUUCUUGCCUUCAUAAGCUCCCAAUCCACGAGCAUCCAAGAAGCUAUACUCCGGAACUAUAAAACUACAGCCAACAGGAAACUUUUGACAUUUUAAAACAAUAGGUAGCCAUAAAAUUAUAUCAACAGAUAUCAAAGAAGGUAAUAUCGUCUAAAAAAGAAAAUGAAGUAUGAUGUGCAAAAAUUGGCAAGUGAUAUGGCUAAUGAAACUGAGCUUCAACUUAAACAAUGAACUCCAAAAUUAAAUUCUUCACAAUCCGGAAUAGCCAAAUUUCAAGAAAGGUAAUGUGGCUAUAAAUAACAAAUCUUACAACAUCUGCAUUCCUUCCUUGAUAGUAAUCAGUUCAUUAGACAUUAAUAGUCAGUGAUAAUAAGCAUACCUCCUGGUGAUUCCAUUAAUUGCAGCAAUAAUCUCUGCAGCCUGGUAAGCUCUCUGAGUAAUGGAGGGCCAAAUCCAGCAGCCCCUAUCACAAGCUCCCAUUGCCUUCAAUUCUAAAGCAGCCUUCACAGUCUGCUUCUUUCCUUUCUCUGACAAACCGCUAUCAACCGAUGUUUUCGCAACUGGAUUCGUGUUGAUAAUCCCUAGGCUCUCAAAUUCAGAUUCCCCAGCUCUCACCAAAUAG